UGAAACUCAAUAUCAAGUUGAAAGCAGUUCAACUGAUAUGUUAUUUCUCUCAUACCAUUUCUUCAUUUUGUUGAUUCUAAAUGGUCAUGGAAGAGCUGCAAGUUUGUUACUGUUUAGUCAGCAGUCAAUAUCAUCUACAAACAAAGGAAUGCAUCCUAUUUAAAUGUUUUAUUUUCAGAAACAUCGUCAGGAAUAGCAGAUAAUAUCGUUUUCAGUUUUCAAUUGAUGAUAAUGCUGUUGCUGAACCUGUUUAACAAUAUGUAGUACCGUAAGGUCAAUGGAAAGAUAGUUUCAUUGCAAUUGCAUCAGUUGCUGCUACUAUUGUUGGAAAACCAAAAUGGGAUCAACUUCGUUUCUCACAUGGGUAUUGGCUUUAUCAUUUUGGCUUAUUGGUUUAUAUUCAGGUAAAUACGAAUAUCAUGCAAGGACAGAUCAAGUAGAGAUUUGAAGUGUCAUAAUGACAUUUAUUUAGAGAAUUAUGCCGUCAUACUUCAUCACUGUUGUAGUACCAGCGCAACAAAGCUCCCUGGAGGGAAAUGCAUAAGUGUACCCCUCCUGUCAGUUAUUUAAACUUCACCACAUUCUUUAUAUUAUCAGUGGUGUGGAACCCUUUUGUUCAUUUGAGUGGGUGUACUUACAAGGUGCAAAUUUCCAAUCAUAGCUGCUAUUUACUACACCAUUGUUGUUAUUGUUCUGUUUGUUGAUAUGGCACAAUUAUUUAUCAGAAUAGCAACCGAUAUCACAGUGGUGGAAUUUUAUGUUCGGCUUUGGAUUCACCUGCAAAGCUUUCAAGACAAAGUUGAUGUACGCAAGAAUUAUGAUUAGGAUGCAAGAAUUAUGUGGUUAAUAUCAUCAUGUCAGGGUAUUUGUUUCAAAGAGAUGAUGCGUGUAAAUGAGCGGAUCAUCCUCUUCAACAAUUUAUCUUACUAGGUAUAACUUCUGAGCUCUGGCUCUUGCUGAGAAUGCUUGGGGCAAUGUUUUUGUACCAACUAACUUUCUUAUAACGGAAAAAGUGACGUUGGUGUGGUGUA